rnacentral:rRNA from 1 species
GUGCAGCAGUCGAGAAACCUCCGCAAUGCUCGAAAGAGCGACGGGGGGACUCCAAGUGCCUACGCUCAGCGUAGGCUGUUCCCGAGCCUAAAAAGCUCGGGGAGUAAGGGCUGGGUAAGACGGGUGCCAGCCGCCGCGGUAAUACCCGCAGCCCGAGUGGUGGCCGCUAUUAUUGGGCCUAAAGCGUCCGUAGCCGGCUCGGUAAAUGCCUGGGUAAAUCGUCUGGCCCAACCAGACGAAUUCCGGGUAGACUGCCGGGCUAGGGGACCGGAGGAGGGAGAGGGGUACUCCGAGGGGUAGGGGUGAAAUCAGCAAGGUGAGUUGCUGAUGUAACUUGCCUUGCAAGUCACAAUCCUGUAAUCCCUGGAGGACCACCGGUGGCGAAGGCGCUCUCCUAGGACGGGUCCGACGGUGAGGGACGAAAGCCAGGGGAGCAAACCGGAUUAGAUACCCGCGUAGU